GGAGUCUUCGACAAUGGGGGAAACCCUGAUCGAGCAAUACCGCGUGAGUGAUGACGGUCUUCGGAUUGUAAAACUCUUUUAAUUGGGAGAAAUAACUAGAGUAGGUAAUGACUUUAGUUUGAUAGUACCUUUUGAAUAAGCAACGACUAACUUCGUGCCAGCAGUCGCGGUAAUACGAAGGUUGCAAGCGUUAUCCGGAAUUAUUGGGCGUAAAGAGUGAGCAGGCGGCUCGUUAAGUUUGAAGUCAAAUCGUUGGGCUCAACCCAAUCUCGCUUCAAAAACUGGCGAGCUAGAGUAUGUGAGAGGUAAGCGGAACUCCAUGUGUAGCGGUGAAAUGCGUAGAUAUAUGGAAGAACACCAGAGGCGAAGGCGGCUUACCAGCACAAUACUGACGCUCAGUCACGAAAGUAUAGGGAGCAAAUA
rnacentral:rRNA from 1 species